rnacentral:lncRNA from 10 species
AAGAAAAAGAAAGAAAGAAAAGAGCCAGCCAGCCAGGUGUGGCAGCACAUGCCUGUAGGCCUAGCUACAUGGGAGGCUGAGGUGGGAGGAUUGCUUGAGCCCAGGAGGUCAAGGCUGCAGUGAGCCGUGACUGCACCACUGCACUCCAGCCUGGACAACAGAGUGAGACUCUAUGCACUCCAGCCUGGACAACAGAGUGAGACUCUAUCAAAAAAAAAAAAAAGUGCAAAGAUUCAAAGAAGCUGUGUUUAUGUUAGGGGGAAGGAAAAAGGCUUCACAGGCCUUAAAGAAAGGUGUAUAUGUGAAACAAAGAUGCAGAUACAUAUGGGAGGAAGUGAAUUCAUGAGUCAAAGUGAAGAUGGGAUUAAAAACCAGACUGCCCCAAGCUGGAGCCCAAGCAAUAGAAGCAGAUGAAUUUCAAAAGCAGUCACAGGUCCGGUUGUGAAGGGUUUCAAAUAUAGUAUUUUCCUGCUAAAAUUAGUAACAUGAUCAAGUCACAGGGCCAGAAGGAAGAUUACUCUGGUGGUAGAGGAGGACUACUAUGGCCAAUAGGCAUUGAGAAGAGAGAAUAAGACCAAGAUACAAAGUGUAAUUUAGACAUCAGAUACUUUGCAUAUAAGAAUAUUGUAUGUUGAUUAGUUAAAGAUGUAACUAGUCUCCCGGA